UACGUAGGAGACGAGCGUUGUCCGGAGUUACUGGGCGUAAAGGGCGCGUAGGCGGCUCUGCACGUCCGUUGUGAAAUCGCCCGGCUCAACUGGGCGGGGUCAGCGGAUACGGCAGAGCUUGAGCAAGCUAGGGGGCAAUGGAAUUCCCGGUGUAGUGGUGGAAUGCGUAGAUAUCGGGAGGAACACCAGUGGCGAAGGCGGUUGCCUGGGGCUUUGCUGACGCUGAUGCGCGAAAGCGUGGGGAGCGAGUCCGG
rnacentral:rRNA from 1 species